UGGGAUUUUUUUUUUUAAUAACAACAAAAAGUUCUAUUUUUGGCAAAUGUUAAGGCCCAGCAGCAAAGACACUGGUUAAUAAAGUGAGAUUAAAUACAUAAAGUAUAUUUGUGUAAUUUAAUAUACACAAAUCUUGUGUAUAUUAAAUUACUUCAUCCAACUUAUCACCUCUUGUGAUAAGUUGGAUGAAAACAUGAUGCGUUUCUUACUCUAUAGCCCCGUCUGUUGGUGAGAAUGCCUGUGGUUUAUGUGUCACAUGACUUGACACAAGGAGAUGGCAGUAGAGACCUCUCCAGUUUCACUGGCACUCUGUGAAUAGUUUAAAUGAUGUAACUGUGCUGCACUAAAGUUGAGCAGAUGCUUUUUCAUCCAGGUUUGUGUAGCAUACUAAUUGUAUGGGUCAGAUAGAAAACUAAUGAAGGAGAACAGUUGUAGCCUAAAGUUUUGGCAAUUACCUAAAUUUUGUGUUUCACAAAGUUUGCUGCUUCGGUUGUUGUGGUGUUGAUUUCACAUAGAUCAUUUGCUUUUUCAAUAAAUUUAGACAUUGUUUCUCUGAAUCCUCUGCCAAGUCUUGUGUAAAAUUAAAUGUAGAGAUAUAACUUAUACAUUAGUAUUCAAAGGCUUCUUUUCUAAUGCAACCAUAUAAAUAUAACAAUGAGUCAGUCUGAAAGAGCAUGUACCAUUUCCAAGUCAUUUAUCACUGAAUAUCUUGCCUACACAAACCUUAAAAAACAUUAUAGCAUUGUUUAAUAUAAUAUUUUAAUAAUAUACAUAUAAUAUUAUAGUUUAGUACUGGUUUGGUGCCCUUGUUUAUUUUGAGGGUAUUCAUUUAUUAUUAAUUUUGUCCGUUUACAGAUUCCAGAUUGCAAUGAUUUCAAUCUUUGUCAUCAUGUGGAUAUAGUCUUGCAAAAUCUUGCUUAUCCAGUCACAUUGCAGAAGAGACUGAUCUAUUAAAAACAUCAAAACAAGCUCCAAAAUAACAUUACCAAAACAUUAUCCCUAUGAUGACAAAUGGUGUUGGCUAAUAUUGGACUUGUGUAAAAGAGAUAUCCUUAAUGUUAUUCAUCACAUUCAUUUGAAAAUACUCCUCAUUUUUAGCAUACAUACUUAUCGUAUGUCCUCUUCACACCUCGUAUAUUAGAUCUUCUAGCAGUUCUUAUAAAGUCUAAAGCAAUGCAAUUUCUUACUGUUCAAAAGAAUUAAAUAUGAUUGCCUAUAGCCAUAUGAUAACAAGAAUCGUCUUUUGCAAGGGUGAGUGGUUGUGCAAUGCAACGCAAUCUGUGGAUUACUGGCUCACGGCUAUGUAUUGUGAAAUCAUUGCAGAAAACAAGAUGCCACAGAGACAUAUGAGGCGAGCUGUUAAUUGUGUAAAUAUAUAUAUAUAUAUAUAUAUAUAUAUAUAUAUAUAUAUAUAUAUAUAUAUAUAUAUAUAUAUAUAUAUAUAUAUAUACUGUAUGUUUGCUUAAACUAAAGAGAUUGUAUUUCUGUCACUAAAUGAUAAUAGGUCCGUUCAAUCAUGAUGAUUGUUGAAAUUAAACUGGCUAUUUCCUUCUUGCUUUAAGGCACCCUGGCAGGGCUCUUGGCAGGCAUGUAAGGCUCAGUGUGUCCAAGAAGGGAAAUGCUGUUGCAUGUUUCAGGAUGUGUUUUCCUUUUUCCUUUUUUUCCUGUAUGUUUGAUGAUCGUGAGAAAGAACAAUGUUUUCUACCCUUUUAGACAUUCCCUGGGUUGUCUGGAGUCCGCUUACAUACUGUACAUGCUACAAAACGAGCCCAGUUGUACAAGGAAUUUUAUUUUAUUUAUUCUCCUCACCACAAACAAUUUUACAAUUAGCCACUUUAGGAUUUUAAGUCUGUGAGCCCGCAAUUACAUCUGCUGCAAACAUUCUUUUGCAUUUCUUGGACUGUAACUUAAAAUUACACGUUUCUUUAAAUACUGUCCUCCUACUCAUUCAGGUUACCCAUUUUAGCACUGUACAACAACAAAAAAAACAUUUAUAGAGGGUUUUUUGCAACGUCUGCUUUACUGGAAUCCAACACCAAAAAAAUGUCUUGAGACAUAUCCCUUCAUUCUCCUAAAACAAAUUAAAUAGAAAUUGAAAGGAAAAUUAACUAAAGGCCUCAAAACUAUGGAAGCAUUAGUCAGGGUUGGGCAAAAAUACAUCAAAAUGUAUUUUAAAAUAAAAUACCAAAUACCUUAAUUUUAAGUGUACCAAAAUAAACUACAAAAUACAGCAGCCAACCAUGUAUCAAAAUAAACUAUUGUAUUCUUGUAUUUUAAAAUACUAAAAAAUACUUUUACAAGGGAGCAUGAAAUUUCUUCGCAAACCUUCCAUCAACUGGCCUAUUUGAUUGAUCUCUUCAUUUUUGUUUAAAUUUUGUUUAAAUGAGUAUCAUGUUUUACCAUGACUAACAUCGAUCUAGCUUACUGAAGCGUUUAAAAGGUGUUUCAUAGCAGAGCAACAAACACACAGAGUAGCAUUAUGACAACUUUCAACACACAAAUGUAUCUAAUAUGAUAAACAGUGCUGCUUAACCCCACAUACACUUGACCAAAAAAGCAGAAGCGGCGACUGCGGCAUAAUAAAAGUUCCGCUGCUCUCGAGACAUGUGUCGCGCUCGUCUCUCAUUAGCAACCUCUCCAGCCGUCUCGUUCAGCUCCAACAUCACUCGGCCCUGCUCUGCUUUAUACUACAGUAACUUUAAUAAUCUUAUCCAUGAACAUGAUUUCUGCCCGAGUCCCGUCCCGAUUCUUUUCCACCGGCUGUAGACGUGAAGACAACACAUCCCAUGAUUCCACAAAACCAAGGAUAAGCGACUGAAUAAGCGACCUCUAGCGGUGAAAAUUUACAUAUUGUUGCUUUAACAGAUCAAAUAUUCACAUAUCCCUGUGAUCUCCCAGAUGAAGGUUAGUUUUAAAGUAACCAACAGUUUAAUUUUUAAGAGUUUGCAAAUGACUCGUAAUUGUAUCCUAAUUUAGUUACAUGGAGUUUGGUAACAAAGGGCCUACUUUGCAUCAGCAACACUGACUCAAUAACAAACAAGUCAUUUAUAAGUAGACAACUGAUGGCAACUAGUAUCUAACAAAUUAAUUAAUUGUUAAUCAUAAAUAUAGGAGGCUGCUGCAAUAUGACAAAGAGUGAAAAAUUUAAGGGGGUCUGAAUACUUUCCGUACCCACUGUAUAUAUAUAUAUAUAUGUAUAUGUACACACAAUAUUUAAUAAUAUUAUUGUGUUUUUAUGAAAUGAGUGAUUGAAUUCACAGUGAAAUUCAAGAAACAUGAAAGUAGUGUCACCAGGUUCAGGGAUGAGUGGUGUAGAUAGAGUGCAAUAGUCAGGAUCCCAUUCAUUUUCUACAUAUGGAAAUUUAUUUAUAACUAUAAAUUAUAUACCUUAAAGGACAGGACUACUAUGAAUAGCUACUCUCUGAUUGGUCUCAAAACUAUGAAAGCAUUCAAAUUCCAGUGAUGAUGUAUUUCAAGAACAUUGGUGCAAUGAACAGUAAAAUAAAGCAAAGUUUCACUUUCUUUAAAAGCAAAUGAAAAACGUUCGUCUUUGAAAUUGUAAAGAUUGUAUCAAAAAGUAUUUAUACAUAAACUGUCGUAUCAGCUUUUAAAAGAAAAAGAAAAGAAAACAAGAAUGUUUAAAUAAAAAUAUUUACACAACUAGACUUGCGUAGUAUUCUGCCAGGUUCUCAAGGAAAGAAAAUAACUGUGCAUUCAUGUGGUGCAGAUCACCAGAUAUACUGCAAGUAACACUCCAUUGUGCAAAACAUUGUUGAUAUUUGAGCUAUUUAUGGUGGGGGGUAGGGGGGCUUAUUCCAGAUGUUUUUUUGUUUUUUGUUUUUCAAUUCUAUUCUCUCCAACAAACAGCAGAUAAUGGAAGAUACAUUUCAUUGGCCAUGAAAUACUGCAGGAAAUACGGUGGAUACCACUCAUGUGAAAUCUAGGAAUUGCUUUACCACUUUUUGAGGAGCUUCUGUGGUCUGAAGAAGGGAGAUGCAGGUUUUGCUCUGUCUGGUUUGUGCCUUUGGCAUUUUUGGUCAGUAUCAUCCAGCACCUUUACCACUCGAAGAUGAUGGAUCGGUACAUCCAACGAGACCUGCUCAGAAUGACCUGUCCCUGGCAACAAAAUACCUGCAGCACUUCUACAGUUUCCAAGCGGAUCCUACAGGCCGUAGAAGGAGGAGUCGUCCCUCUUUCUCUUCCAAACUGAAGGAUAUGCAGAGCUUUUUUGGGCUGAACAGGACAGGAACCCUGAACCCAGAAACCCUCGCUGUCAUGAGGACUCCUCGAUGUGGCAUCUCAGAUGUGGAGGAUUACAGUCACAGACGUGGAAACAGGUGGAAGAAAAACCUCAUCACCUAUGGUGUUGGGAGGUAUACCAGUGACUUACCAGUGAAUACGGUGGAUACUCUGAUAGCGUCGGCUCUGGAUGCAUGGGCGAAGGCCAGCCCUCUCACUUUCCAGCGGUCAUAUUCUCACCAGGCAGACAUCAUGGUGGAGUUUGUUGGAAAUGAACAUGGCGACUCCUUUCCCUUUGAUGGUCCAGACGGCACACUGGCCCAUGCUUUUGGCCCAGGGGAUGGCAUAGGUGGGGACGUUCAUUUUGAUGAAGCUGAAGCAUGGACGGCUGGGUUCAAAGGAUUUAACCUAUAUGUAGUAGCUGCACAUGAGUUUGGUCAUGCACUUGGUUUGAAGCACUCGCAAAACCCAGAAUCAGUGAUGUAUCCGACAUAUAAACAUAAGAAAACACAGAGUCUGCUCUCUGGUGAAGAUAUCAUGAACAUCAAUACACUCUAUGGGCCAAGGGACAAAAGGCCCUUUCCAUCUUCAAGAUUUAGCUGGAGCUAUCCCAGCAGCCCCUGGUACAGUGGUUCAUAUUUCCCUGUGUCAUUCAAGGACACAUGUAAUCCUGAUCUGACUUUUGAUGCUGUGACUACUGUAGGAGAGGCUGUUUUCUUCUUCAGGGACAAGUACUUGUGGAUCAAGCACAAUAAUCAAAAUGAUAUAAAGGAAGGCCCCAUCAGCAAUUUCAUGCCAAAAAUCGAUUGUCAGAUCAACGCCGCUUAUUGGGUCCCUCAGCGGUCAACAGCGUAUCUGUUCAAUGGGACGAUUUUCUGGACCGUGAAAGGAUCCCAAGUAAAAGGCAGACCGAAAAACAUCAGUAGUCUGGGGUUCCCAUCAUGGGUCCAGCAGAUAGAUGCUGCGGUCCACAUUCACAAAACUGUACACACCCUAUUCUUCACCGGACAUCAGUACUGGAGGUAUAAUGAACACAACAAGACUUUGAAUGACUCAAGCCCACGUAACAUUUCUGACGAUUUCCCAGAAAUAAAUGGACCCAUAAGUGCAGCAACUUAUAAAGAUGGUUCUCUUCAUUUCUUUGUUGGCUCAGAUGUGUACAAAUAUGACGUCAAACUAAAGGAAAUUAUUGGAGCAGAUAAAACAACUUCCUGGCUUGGAUGUUAAUGGACAUUCAUUAGACUAAUAGUUCCUAAAUCUAAUUGCAAUCAUUAUUUUGGCGAUUCAAUAAAGUGGCUCAGAAAUGACACACCUGUAAAGAUGGUUGAAUGUUGUAUUGAAUUGUAUAGCAUUGUAUUUCAUGUGAUAAAUGCAUCUACUGUUUAAUGUCUUUGGAACAUUUUAAAUAUGCAAAUGUAUCAAAAAAAGUCAGAAAGUGGUGUAGAUUAAAAUGUAUUUUCAUCUGGCAAAAAGACAAUCAUAAAAUUUAUGAGUCUAUCAUUACUUCUAAAGAAAAUAACUUGUUUGCAUUAAGCUCUGCACUUGCAUGACUGAGGUAAACCAAAGUAGUUAGCCUGAAUAUGCACUAAUCAGCGUGUCUCUAUGAUUGUAAUAAAGAAAAGUACUUGCUUUUCAUGCAAAAUGAACAUUUAAGAAUAUACAAAAUGAACAGAAUAUAAAAUCAUUUACUACAAAUCAUGAAACAAUCAUAAUCCUCUUCACUCCCCCGUAAAGCCAACUAAGACUUCUGAUGAAAAGCUAGACGUGACCUCAUUUUGUGGAUGACAAAAGCCACUAAAUACCUGACAGUAAAUUCUUGUUUGAGGGCCCGGGUCCCACGUGAUCUCUUACCAUCUUAAGGUAUGCUUGAGUUGUACAAGACACAGACAUAAAAACGAGAACAUGAGUGUGCCAUGGUCAAAAUGAGCUGGUUGUGGCCUUGGAUCUUGCUGUGUUGGAUGGUGAAUACAGACAUUGUAAGGACCUCACGCGUGACUCUUCAGAGCCCCAGUCCAGAGGACGUCCAACAUGCUGAGAUAUAUCUGCAUCAGUUCUAUCACCUGAAGAUGCGCAGUCGCAGUAAGAGGCAUGCAGAACUCAUGAAGGAGAAGACCAGAGCAAUGCAACAUUUCUUUGACCUGAAGGAAAGUGGUCUUCUGGAUCAGAAAAC